rnacentral:tmRNA from 1 species
GGGGGCGAAUGGACUCGACCGGGCGAUGCGUCUCGUCGUGGUGGCGCGCCGAGGACCCCGGAUUCCUCGUCAAUCCCCCGGGAAACCUGAAGUUGCCAACAGCAACCUCGCUCUUGCCGCCUAGCCUGAACCGCUAGGAGCAACGGACACCCUCUCUCGCCCGCGGGGAGGGACCGUCCGUCAUCCGUGGGCUGGCUCCCCGACCGCCGCCGGUCGUUCGGGGGGUGAGACUUCACUGGCUGGUCCUCGAAGGAGCCCGUCCGCGGGCGCCUCGGGGUACGACAAAAACCGCGGACUACGCGCGUAGUCGCUCGACGGGGCCCGUCCCGGGACGGGGGUUCGAUUCCCCCCGCCUCCACCA